rnacentral:rRNA from 1 species
AGAGUUUGAUCCUGGCUCAGGAUAGAACGCUAGCUACAGGCUUAACACAUGCAAGUCGAGGGGAAACGACAUCGAAAGCUCGUCUUUUGAUGGGCGUCGACCGGCGUACGGGUGAGUAACGCGUAUCCAACCUGCCCACCACUUGGGGAUAACCUUGCGAAAGUAAGACUAAUACCCAAUGAUAUCUCUAGAAGACAUCUGAAAGAGAUUAAAGAUUUAUCGGUGAUGGAUGGGGGAUGCGUCUGAUUAGCUUGUUGGCGGGGUAACGGCCCACCAAGGCAACGAUCAGUAGGGGUUCUGAGAGGAAGGUCCCCCACAUUGGAACUGAGACACGGUCCAAACUCCUACGGGAGGCAGCA